rnacentral:misc_RNA from 1 species
GAUGAAGAACGUAGCGAAAUGCGAUAAGUAAUGUGAAUUGCAGAAUUCAGUGAAUCAUCGAAUCUUUGAACGCACAUUGCGCCCGCUGGUAUUCCGGCGGGCAUGCCUGUUCGAGCGUCAUUUCAACCCUCAAGCUCUCCGGAGUUUGGUGUUGGGGCGCCUGGGGCUUUUCGACCUCAGGGCCCUCAAGUCCAUCGGCGGGACCGCCAGGACACUGAGCGCAGUAGUAUUAUUUCGCUCGGUAGGAUCUACCACGGCGGGUCGAUCUGGCCGCUAAACCCCCCAAUUCUCACCAAAGGUUGACCUCGGAUCAGGUAGGAAUACCCGCUGAACUUAAGCAUAUCAAUAAGCGGAGGA